rnacentral:lncRNA from 1 species
UUUUGUUAGCCUCUAAAAUUUAUUUUUUAUUUAUAUUAUACCACGUAACCUUUGCAAGUAAUCUUUUCACAUUUUAGUUACUAGCAGAAAUACCCGUGUGUUGCUACGGGUCCUUACUUGUCUCAUGUUAUUAUUCUUGUUUCUAAUAUGUUGGCUUCGCUUCACAAUAUAUUGGUGCGUUGUCUCUAGUAGUCGUCUCUUUCCAAGUAUAGUAGUAGAAGAUAUUUGUUGGUGAUUUGAUGCCCAUCUGUUUAUUAUGAGGGACCCACACAUGGAAAUAAAAAAAAUUCACCGCUUAACCUCCACUCUAUCCAUUCAUUCGAUUUCCCCCGUACUCAUCGUCAUCCAGCCAGUAGCUGCCUCUUCGUCCAUCGGCACCACCCGCAUCUUGCACCAUCCUCGUCGUCGCUCAGGCACUGCGCAUCUUGCCAUCCUCGCCGUCGCCCAGGCAAGCGCUUGUCCUCCCCGUGCCUAGCCUCAUUCCCGCUUCGAGAGCUAGGCCAUAGCGCCUCUGGCCGCCAUGAGCUAGAGUGCAUCCUCCUCUUCUUCUCAUUUC